rnacentral:rRNA from 1 species
ACCCGCUGAACUUAAGCAUAUCAAUAAGCGGAGGAAAAGAAACCAACAGGGAUUGCCUUAGUAACGGCGAGUGAAGCGGCAAAAGCUCAAAUUUGAAAUCGGCCACCAGGUCGAGUUGUAAUUUGUAGAUUGUAUCUUGAGAGCGGAUUAAAGUCUGUUGGAACACAGCGCCUUAGAGGGUGACAGCCCCGUAAAAUCUAUUCUCAUUGUAAGAUACUUUCGAAGAGUCGAGUUGUUUGGGAAUGCAGCUCUAAGUGGGAGGUAAAUUCCUUCUAAAGCUAAAUAUUGACGAGAGACCGAUAGCGAACAAGUACUGUGAAGGAAGGAUGAAAAGCACUUUGAAAAGAGAGUGAAAAAGUACGUGAAAUUGUUAAAAGGGAAGGGUAUUGAAUCAGACUUGGUGCUGUUGUUCAACUGUGUUUCGGCAUAGUGUACUCAGCAGUACUAGGCCAAGGUGGGGUGUUUGGGAGUGAAAAAGAAGUUGGAACGUAACUCUUCGGAGUGUUAUAGCCUACUUUCAUAGCUCCUCAGGCGCCUCAGGACUGCGCUUCGGCAAGGACCUUGGCAUAAUGAUUCUAUACCGCCCGUCUUGAAACACGGACCAAGGAG